rnacentral:lncRNA from 1 species
AGGCAAAUCGAUGAUCGUGCUUGGCUAAAGCUAGGUAACACAAUUCAGAUUAUGAAAGCAAGAAAAUAAACCUACACUAAACAAGGUUGUUCCAAUGAUCGUCGACAAAGAAAAUGCAAAGAGCACAUGGAGAUUCAGAUUUUACUCAUUGUCUUUUUGGUAUUUCCGUAAUGCUUGAGAAAUUAAAAUACUAAUACGAGCAUACAUCAAUGACAAGAGAAGUGAAAGGACAUGAACGUAACAUGACAAGGACACAAAUAUAACUAUCGAACAUGAACAGAGGGAAGAAACAAGAUUGCAGGACAGAACAUAAAUGUAUCACAUCACAGACACACACAUAUGUAUAUAUAUCACAGGUACUUGGAGCUAACACAGGUACUAGAAAAUGUCGAAUUUACACGUCUCACUUGACAAAGAGCACAAGAGCUGAACAUCAAAAAAAUAGAAAAUUAACUAGUACAGAGAAAUAACUUGGAAGCAAAAUCACAUAGACCAUAUAUUAAUCCUGCACUAUAGCUGCAAGUACGAAACAGAACUAAAAUCUGAACCUUACUAGGUAUUACAUAUCUUAAUUUUACAGAAAUUAGGUGUUCAGAAUAGUACACAAGUUUCACCUUUUCAGAACAGAACAGUACACUAACUGACUUACAGACACAUAGAGAGCUAAUGCUGAUUUGAAUGUAAUUGGUCUAGCAUCCAGUAGUAACUAUCUGCAACUACACACACACAUAGAAAGAGUGAGAGAAAGAGAAAGAAAGAGAGCAGCAGCUGUUUUGAGGUUCAUGUAAGAAGAAUAGUGGCGAGGCAGAGAAGAGCAGGAGCAGCAGAAGUGACGCAGGGAAGAAGAAGAAGCAGUAGGCAGGAGAAGAAGGUGUAGCUGCAGCGCACAAGCAGCAGCAGCAAGAGGAGAAGCAGAACGGGAGCAGCAAGAGAGAGGUAGCAGUUUCGAGAUGGAGAGGAGCAGCAGAGAUUGAGAAGAGGGUCAGCUGCGAGGCAAGGGAAGGGGAAGCUGCAGAGCGAUGGAGGAGUGGAGGAAAGAAGCAGGGGGCGGUGAGAGAAAAGAGAAGGAGCGGGGAGGAGCGCUCACGCGGAGGUUCAGACGCCCGCGUCCUCGUGUCUGAUGGGACGCGCGACGGCGAAGUGGAGGGAUGGCGCUGGUGGAGCUGGUGGCGCGCCCCACGCCGGCCUGGCUGUGGCGGCGGCCGGAGGUGGAGAAGAAAGGGAUCGGGGGAGAGGAUGAGAUGCCAGACCUCGGGGAAUUGUGUAGUGACCUAGGGAUUUUGAUCCCCUCACUGUAGAUUUUGAUGUUUGCACAUGGGCCCUCCUACUAUCUUCUUCCUUCCCAAGUAGAUCCCCUCUCUUCUAUAGUUAGCCCCUUUGGUUACUUCUUGUCGUCACACACAUGCCCUUCUCUCUUCUCGUUAGCCACAUAGUAGAAAUCUUGACGAUUAUAGUGCCUUGCGCACUUUUCUACAAAAGAAACAAAUGACAAGUAAAUGAUCUUUUAUAUGAUUUUCAUUCAAAUAUAUCACAACUCAUAGCAAGAAUGGAUGGAUAUAUCACGAUAGAUGCUAAAUUUGAGUGCCAAAUUUGUAUAUGUGAAAUAUACUUAUCAAGUUCCCCCACACUUAAAUCUUUGCUUGUCCUCAAGCAAAGGAAUAUGACAAAGGCAAGAUAAUGAACAGUAAACUGAGUAAGGAAUGUCCUGGUAAAAUAGAUCUCCAAACAAGGCAUGCUUCAGACUUAGCUAGUGAAAAUUAAUGGUUAGGACUGCUACAAAGCAGUAGGAUACUAGUAAGCACGACCAUUUUAAACUUUUACAGUGAUAAAAGAGGAUCAACAAGUUUAAAUGAUGACUAUGCCAAAUGGUUCCUAAAGAGAGCAUGAUCCCAAGAACAAAAUGAACUGGAAUUAAAUCUUGUGAUCAAAUCACUUAUUUACAGAGAUAAAGCAAUGAUUAUAUUAUUAUUAGUCUCACCAUAGGAACAUACCACCGAUCCCGAGAACAAGGUAUACACCUGGCUCGACCAAUUAUUAGUUUUUUUGUUUGUCUCCCCAAAGGAACAUACCACUGAUCCCGAGAACAUGGUAUACACCUGGUUCGACAAUUACAUUUUUUUAUUAUUAAUUACUGCCCAAGCUAACCCGAUUUCACAUGCCACCGAUCCCGGGAACAUGACAUGCUACUGUAGGUAGUCAGACUUAUUUAUUCAUUAUUACUUAUCUUAAAUGAACAACACAUAAGCACAAAAAUAGGAAUCAUCACUUCUCCAUGUCUGGUUCACAUGCUACCGAUCUAGGGAACAUAGCAUGCUAAUCCAUAGUGGUUAGGUGAUUGCUCUCAAUGGGAACACACUUAGCACAAAUUCAACAUCUAAACAUGGUGAUCUAGGUGUAUCGAGGUAAAAGCAGAAAAUGAUUAAGUUUUCUAGUAUACUAGGGAUUUGAGCACUCAAAACUAAUAACUUCCACUACUUUCAGCAAAGCAAGCAUUGUAUAGAUCACUAGUUUACCAGACAUUCAACACUCAGUUCACAUAUUCUCAUCAAGCACCAUAUGUCAAGUAAAAUUCAGUGGGGCAACAUUUAAGACAUGGCUUAAGCAACCCAAAUAACAUUUGAUUUCAGCAUGUAUCAAUGGAUGAUAUAUUCGGAAUGGGUCAUGAAACAGCUCACCGGGCUUUGAUCAUGUAGCACUCGCUCGAUCACCUCACCAACUGCAGCUCUUCUCCUUUUGCUUCUCUAUCCUCAUGCCUGCUCCAGCUUCUCCCUUCCUCGAGUGUGCCCCCUUGCUUCUCCUCAUCCCCAUGCUCUGAGUCCACCAGGGUCCCAAGGAAUGUCACCUCGAACCUGGUCAGCAUGUAAUGGAUCGUGCACAAGCAAAAACCUGAAAGCACACUCAACAACCAAGCCAAUACAAGUGACAGAGAGAAUGCCCUCUAAGUCAUCGAUAGAGUACCCUAUCAUAUAAGUAUAUCUAUUGAUCAAAUCAGGAACAUGUAUCAACAACAAGUCACAUGGGGCAUAGGCAAUAUCAGCGAUAUGACAUGUCUUGUCCAGAAAGCUAAGAUCAUACUUGAGAUAGUUAGGAAGAAGCUUCAGAACUACCUCAAUUGAAGAUACCAAGUGAGGUGUGGUAGUAGAAAUUUCAACCGGACUCGUGUCAACAAGUGAAAUAGUAGAGCUUGGCUCCUUGACAUCUGAAUCCACCUCACCAUACUCAACCAUGAAGCUCUCCAUCUCAGGCUCAAGUGUUGAGGAAGCAAUGCGGCUAACAUCAUCGAAGGUGAACUUCUCCAUAUCUGGCUCUAGCAGCACAUGAUCAAUAUCAACUAAAGGUGACUCCUCAAUAUCAAAAACAACUAACUGCAGCUCUGGCUCAUCCAUGGAAGAAUCAUCACAAUGCAAAACCGAAUCUCCAACACUAGUAUCCAUAUGAUCUGUAGCGUGUGUGUCAACUAGAAUGGUGUCAUCAUCGUCAAAGAUAAUCCAUGCAAGCUCAAUCUUGUCACACUGAGAUAGAGGUUCAGGGUUCUGUGUAAGAAUUGGUGGCUGGGGUGUAGUGAUUUGUUGCAAGCAAACCAAUGAAUCAGACGUGGGCUUCUUAUUGUACCACUGAAGUUGGUGGAAAGCUAUGCUCUCAAUCAGCAGAAAAGCUUCAUCAAGUGUCUUGUUUGUAAUAGCUCCACCGCUGCCAUAUCGACAUAAGCUCGAGUGUUCGAAGUCAAUCCUCUAUAGAAUAUUUGCAGCUCUAACCAUCUCUCGAGCCCGUGGUUAGGACAUCUCCUGAAUAAAGCCUUGUAUCUCUCCCAAGCAUCAUACAAGCUCUCGCCUUCACGCUGAACGAAGCUGAGGAUCUCAUCUCGAAUUGCGGACUACUUAUGUAGUGGGAAAUAUUUAUCCAAGAAAGCUUGUGAUAUCUCGUUCCAACUGAAUGAUCUUGAUGGCAAGGAUCGAUACCAAGCACGAGCAUCAUCCCAGAGAGAGAAUGAGAACAGCAUGCACUUGAUAGCAUCUUGAGGAACUCCAUGGUACUUGACUGUACCUGAAUACUCCAUGACUCGGUAUAAGUGCUCAUAGGGAUCCUCAGUGAGCAGACCUCCAAACUGUUGUUGUUGAACCAAAGCAAUAAGACCAGGCUUUAGCUCAAAAUUUUCUGCCUCAAAAGACGGCCAAAGUGGCCCUGUGAAAUAGCAUUGGCUGCUUGGCAUCCAAACAUCACGAAGCAUCGCCAUAUCUCCACCAAGUGUAACUAUCAAUCAACCUGCAAAUAGAUCAGAUUUCCUACGCACACUCAUAAACAGUAAAUACUAGUCAACAACAAGGAAAAAAUAUAUAAAAGAAACACAGAAAAAGAAAUACACGAUGAAUUAAACAUGAAACUAAAAUAAACCUAGUCUAUAGCUAACAUAAUCGCUCGACGCUAGUCCCUGGCAACGGCGCCAAAAUGAUCAAUUAUAAUAUAGCAGGGUUUUUGCGCCCAAACUACGGAUGUCGUGUUCUCCUCAGGGACUAGGCAAAUCGAUGAUCGUGCUUGGCUAAAGCUAGGUAACACAAUUCAGAUUAUGAAAGCAAGAAAAUAAACCUACACUAAACAAGGUUGUUCCAAUGAUCGUCGACAAAGAAAAUGCAAAGAGCACAUGGAGAUUCAGAUUUUACUCAUUGUCUUUUUGGUAUUUCCGUAAUGCUUGAGAAAUUAAAAUACUAAUACGAGCAUACAUCAAUGACAAGAGAAGUGAAAGGACAUGAAUGUAACAUGACAAGGACACAAAUAUAAAUAUCGAACAUGAACAGAGGGAAGAAACAAGAUUGCAGGACAGAACAUAAAUGUAUCACAUCACAGACACACACAUAUGUAUAUAUAUCACAGGUACUUGGAGCUAACACAGGUACUAGAAAAUGUCGAAUUUACACGUCUCACUUGACAAAGAGCACAAGAGCUGAACAUCAAACAAAUAGAAAAUUAACUAGUAUAGAGAAAUAACUUGGAAGCAAAAUCACAUAGACCAUAUAUAAAUCCUGCACUAUAGCUGCAAGUACGAAACAGAACUAAAAUCUGAACCUUAUAAGGUAUUACAUAUCUUAAUUUUACAGAAAUUAGGUGUUCAAAACAGUACACAAGUUUCACCUUUUCAGAACAGAACAGUACACUAACUAACUUACAGACACAUAGAGAGCUAAUGCUGAUUUGAAUGUAAUUGGUCUAGCAUCCAGUAGUAACUAUCAACAACUACACACACACACAUAGAAAGAGUGAGAGAAAGAGAAAGAAAGAGAGCAGCAGCAGUUUUGAGGUUCAUGUAAGAAGAAUAGUGGCGAGGCAGAGAAGAGCAGGAGCAGCAGAAGUGACACAGGGAAGAAGAAGAAGCAGUAGGCAGGAGAAGAAGGUGCAGCUGCAGCGCACAAGCAGCAGCAGCAAGAGGAGCAGCAGAACGGGAGCAGCAAGAGAGAGGUAGCAGUUUCGAGAUGGAGAGGAGCAGCAGAGAUUGAGAAGAGGGUCAGCUGCGAGGCAAGGGAAAGAGAAGCUGCAGAGCGAUGGAGGAGUGGAGGAAAGAAGCAGGGGGCGGUGAGAGAAAAGAGAAUGAGCGGGGAGGAGCGCUCACGCGGAGGUUCAGACGCCCGUGUCCUCGUGUCUGAUGGGACGCGCGACGGCGAAGUGGAGGGAUGGCGCUGGUGGAGCUGGUGGCGCGCCCCACGCCGGCCUGGCUGUGGCGGCGGCCGGAGGUGGAGAAGAAAGGGAUCGGGGGAGAGAGAUGAGAUGCCAGGCCUCGGGGAAUUGUGUGGUGACCUAGGGAUUUUGAUCCCCUCACGACAAAUUUUGAUG